GAGUUGAGUAUGGAUGUUACUUUUAAAGAAUUUGAGCCUUAUUUUCCUAUCAAGCCACCUCUUCAGGGAGAGCAUAAGGAGGAAAAGGAAGAGGCUUUUUUUCCUAAUCAGACUAUUAGGCUUGGGUCACACCUUGGUAAUGAGCCAUCUAACCAGGACCAACCACUUCAGGGGGAGACUAUUAGGCUUGGGUUACACCUUAAUAAUGAGCAAUCUAAUCAGGACAAACCACCUCCUCAAACCCUAGAGAAAUUGAAUAGAUUGGAUUUGAGACUCUACAUAUAUUGGAAUAAGAUAGAUACAACCAUUGAACUUGAUACACCUAAUCAACCAGCAACUCUGGAAUAAAUUCUUGAAGAAUGUGGUGAAUCUCCUUUACUUCUUGAUGAUCCAAUUUCUAUUUCUAAGUUGAAUGCUAUUAUUGAUAAUCUUGAUGUUCCUAUUGCUCUUAGAAAAAGAGUUAGGGUUUAUACUAAGUAUCCUAUUUCUAAUUUUAUUUCCUAUGACUCCUUGUCUCCUUCCGAUAGAGUCUUUAUCUUAUCUAUUUCUUUUGUUUCUAUACCACAAGGUUGGAAGGAAGUAUGUCUUGAUCCAAAAUGGAAGGC
rnacentral:misc_RNA from 1 species